UGGGGAAUAUUGCGCAAUGGGCGAAAGCCUGACGCAGCGACGCCGCGUGUGGGAUGAAGGUCUUCGGAUUGUAAACCACUGUCGGGAGGGACGAAGCUCUGACGGUACCUCCAAAGGAAGCACCGGCUAACUCUGUGCCAGCAGCCGCGGUAAUACAGAGGGUGCGAGCGUUGUCCGGAAUCACUGGGCGUAAAGGGCGCGUAGGCGGCUUGGUAAGUAGGGGGUGAAAUCUCACGGCUCAACUGUGAGGCUGCCUUCUAGACUGCCGAGCUCGAGCACAGUAGAGGCUGGUGGAAUUCCCGGUGUAGCGGUGGAAUGCGUAGAGAUCGGGAAGAACAUCUGUGGCGAAGGCGGCCAGCUGGGCUGUUGCUGACGCUGAGGCGCGACAGCGUGGGGAGCAAACAGGAUUAGAUACCCUGGUAGUCCACGCCGUAAACGAUGGGCACUAGGCGUCGGGGGGAGCGACCCUCUCGGUGCCGUCGCUAACGCAAUAAGUGCCCCGCCUGGGGAGUACGGUCGCAAGACUGA
rnacentral:rRNA from 1 species